rnacentral:rRNA from 1 species
CUACGUGCCAGCAGCCGCGGUAAUACGUAGGUCCCGAGCGUUGUCCGGAUUUAUUGGGCGUAAAGCGAGCGCAGGCGGUUAGAUAAGUCUGAAGUUAAAGGCUGUGGCUUAACCAUAGUACGCUUUGGAAACUGUUUAACUUGAGUGCAAGAGGGGAGAGUGGAAUUCCAUGUGUAGCGGUGAAAUGCGUAGAUAUAUGGAGGAACACCGGUGGCGAAAGCGGCUCUCUGGCUUGUAACUGACGCUGAGGCUCGAAAGCGUGGGGAGCAAACAGGAUUAGAUACCCUGGUAGUCCACGCCGUAAACGGUGUCGAUUUGGGGAUUGGGGUUUAGCCUUGGUGCCCGAAGCUAACGUGAUAAAUCGACCGCCUGGGGAGUACGGCCGCAAGGUUAAAACUCAAAUGAAUUGACGGGGGCCCGCMCAAGCGGUGGAGCAUGUGGUUUAAUUCGAUGCAACGCGAAGAACCUUACCUACUCUUGACA